rnacentral:rRNA from 1 species
CCUACGGGCGGCUGCAGUGGGGAAUAUUGGACAAUGGGCGAAAGCCUGAUCCAGCCAUGCCGCGUGUGUGAAGAAGGCCUUCGGGUUGUAAAGCACUUUCAGUGGGGAAGAAAGCCUUGGGGCUAAUACCCUCGAGGAAGGACAUCACCCACAGAAGAAGCACCGGCUAACUCCGUGCCAGCAGCCGCGGUAAUACGGAGGGUGCGAGCGUUAAUCGGAAUUACUGGGCGUAAAGCGCGCGUAGGCGGUCUGAUAAGCCGGUUGUGAAAGCCCCGGGCUCAACCUGGGAACGGCAUCCGGAACUGUCAGGCUAGAGUGCAGGAGAGGAAGGUAGAAUUCCCGGUGUAGCGGUGAAAUGCGUAGAGAUCGGGAGGAAUACCAGUGGCGAAGGCGGCCUUCUGGACUGACACUGACGCUGAGGUGCGAAAGCGUGGGUAGCAACCAGGAUUAGAUACCCUAGUAGC